rnacentral:rRNA from 1 species
AUUGAACGCUGGCGGCAGGCCUAACACAUGCAAGUCGAACGAGUGGCGGACGGGUGAGUAAUGUCUGGGAAACUGCCAGAUGGAGGGGGAUCACUACUGGAAACGGUAGCUAAUACCGCAUACUAUCGACUGUGCCCAGAUGGGAUUAGUUGGUAGGUGGGGAAAAGGCGCACCUAGGAGACGAUCCCUAGCUGGUCUGAGAGGAUGACCGGCCACACUGGAACUGAGACACGGUCCAGACUCCUACGGGAGGCAGCAGUGGGGAAUAUUGCACAAUGGGCGCAAGCCUGAUGCAGCCAUGCCGCGUGUAUGAAGAAGGCCUUCGGGUUGUAAAGUACUUUCAGCGGGGAGGCGUUACCCGCAGAAGAAGCACCGGCUAACUCCGUGCCAGCAGCCGCGGUAAUUC